GCGAAAUCUUAGAGAACAGAGCUCCCUGUGCAGUUAAGCUAAUGCAGAUCUUAAAGUAGACCUAAGCCGGCAAUUCCAAACCAAAUAAACUCCUUAUUUAGAGCAAUACACCAGUACCAACCCCAAAAAAGACAAAGAAAACAAACAAUACCAGAUGUGAUUGUUGUCCUCAAUUAAUCAACAAUCUCAAAUCAAAAAGCCCCCUCAAAUUUUUCAAGAAACCACUCUAGAAUUCCUGAAGCAAAGCCUCCCAAGACCAUGAAAUAGCAUCAAAAUGUAGCUCCCUGCCUAAUAGUCCUGCCAAAAACAGUCCAAAAUCUACACAAAGACACAGCAAACCACAGAAACUCUCUUACCUACUUCAGAAAACCACUCCAAUAAGCCAUACCCACUUCAGAAAAUGACUCAAAUCCCUGCCCAGAACCACGAAAAUCACAUAAUCAGACACUAACUAGAUGUCUGUCAAUAACAGAAGACACGAAUUUCAGGUCAACCCCUUCAAAUUUGCUUUUAGAGAAAACAAAUGUUACUAUUUUCGCUGGCCAAAACCUACCAACGAGAUUCCAAAAAAGAACCUAUGAGAGACACAUGGAAAGGGACGAAAACCGCUCAAUACCCCCAUUAAAGAAAGAACAAGCGAGCUCUUACUCCUGUAAUAAUUUAUACCCACAAAAGCGAUAAUGUCUCCAAAG
rnacentral:misc_RNA from 1 species